rfam:Candida tropicalis MYA-3404 genomic scaffold supercont3.1, whole genome shotgun sequence.
GUCCCAGUGUCCGAGUGGUUAAGGAGUUGCCCUGCUAUUUCCAUUUCAUUGGAAGGCAGUUCAGGCAAUGGGCUUUGCCUUCGCAGGUUCGAAUCCUGUCUGUGACG